CCGCGCCCGAUUCGAUCGAUCCUUGUACUCCACACACGAGUUGAUGCUAUUUAAGAUCGCCAACCCCUCCUCUGCCGAUUUUUGGCAAAACCCCUCGCUCCCAUGCCCUAUCUCGCCCGUACCAGAAGAUCGGAUCUCGUCGGAGUUGCGUGCCCGACAGAAGCUUUCGCCGUCGUUUCGAUCGUCUCUGAAGGAACCCCUGGAACGACUCAAUAGAGCUCGAUCAGGAGCCCUCGCCGUCGCUGCGACUUCAGCCGCACGUCAUCACCACCAGAGGACGGGACCGUCGCAGAAGAGAACGAAUUCAACGUCUACAGGAAUGUCCGCCUCCAGUAGAGUCCUUCUUGAGCUCGGGGGACCACCGCAAACGUCUCCACCGUCGAGGUCCGAGCCGCCGAGGUCUUCUUCGCCAAGUCCGGCGAUGCCUUUCCCUUUGUUCCGCGAUUGUCCCGAGUGCGAAGCAGAUCAGGACUAAGCGCUGUAGUACUUCAACACCGUUCAAGGCAAGUUUGCACUUUUGAUUUUGCUCAUCCUAUAGUCUGCUAUGCAUGUGGUUUUAUGCUAUGAUAUAUGUUUGGCCUGAUAUGUGUAUCUCGUUUUGUCAUGUUUGGUAUUAAUUGUGUUAUUUGAUGGUGUGAACAACUUGCUAUGGUAGACGUGGGCAUGUGUCGAGUGAUCCAUGAAAGUGGUGAGUGUUUAUAGCCGUAGGCUCGGGAUUAUUAACCAGGUGAAUGCGUCAUUGGCAGAGCGCUCUAUUGUCCCUAGAGAAUGCGCCAUUGAUAGAGCACACUUGAGGCGAGGUAUAGUUUUCAGAACUUAAAUGA